GGACCCUUGGCGCAGCGGUAGCGCGUGAGAUUCCAGUGCGUCGUGCUUACGUAAGCAAUCACUGAGCAUCCUCAAGGUCAUCCGUUCAAAUCGGGUAGGGUUCA